rnacentral:sRNA from 1 species
GAACGGUUCUGGGAGCGGUUUGUGGC